rnacentral:rRNA from 1 species
AGUGAACGCUGGCGGUAGGCCUAACACAUGCAAGUCGAACGGCAGCACAGUAAGAGCUUGCUCUUACGGGUGGCGAGUGGCGGACGGGUGAGGAAUACAUCGGAAUCUACUUUUUCGUGGGGGAUAACGUAGGGAAACUUACGCUAAUACCGCAUACGACCUACGGGGGAAAGCAGGGGAUCUUCGGACCUUGCGCGAUUGAAUGAGCCGAUGUCGGAUUAGCUAGUUGGCGGGGUAAAGGCCCACCAAGGCGACGAUCCGUAGCUGGUCUGAGAGGAUGAGCAGCCACACUGGAACUGAGACACGGUCCAGACUCCUACGGGAGGCAGCAGUGGGGAAUAUUGGACAAUGGGCGCAAGCCUGAUCCAGCCAUACCGCGUGGGUGAAGAAGGCCUUCGGGUUGUAAAGCCCUUUUGUUGGGAAAGAAAAGCAGCAGGUUAAUACCCCGCUGUUCUGACGGUACCCAAAGAAUAAGCACCGGCUAACUUCGUG